AACGAACGCUGGCGGCAUGCCUAACACAUGCAAGUCGAACGAGACCUUCGGGUCUAGUGGCGCACGGGUGCGUAACGCGUGGGAACCUGCCCUUAGGUUCGGAAUAACUCCCCGAAAGGGGUGCUAAUACCGGAUAAUCUCUUCGGACCAAAGAUUUAUCGCCUUUGGAUGGGCCCGCGUUGGAUUAGCUAGUUGGUAGGGUAAAAGCAUACCAAGGCGACGAUCCAUAGCUGGUCUGAGAGGAUGAUCAGCCACACUGGGACUGAGACACGGCCCAGAAUCCUACGGGAGGAAGCAGUGGGGAAUAUUGGACAAUGGGCGAAAGCCUGAUCCAGCAAUGCGGCGUGAGUGAUGAAGGCCGUAGGGUUGUAAAGCUGUUUUACCCGGGAUGAGAAUGACAGUACCGGGAGAAUAAGCUCCGGCUAACUCCGUG
rnacentral:rRNA from 1 species